UUUAUAUUCACAGUAUUAUUGCUUCAUCGCAGCAAGAUUCAAGUUUUUUAAACAAAGCAUAACUCACACUUUCAGAAAAACAUUGUUAGGCCAGAGAUAAUACAAAAAGAUAAAUCAAAGUUUGGAAAUACUAAUAUUUACUAAAUAACAACAACACGACCAACAACAAUUAAUUGCCCCACUGUUGUACUUCAUAUGCUGUUAGCAUCAACCACCUGUAGCAUAUCAAGAAUCUUGAUUUCCUCUCCCAUCAAGCAUUGUUUCAAUUGAGAAUUUCGGCUGCAUUUACCAAUUAAUGUAUGGUUGCUAUAUCGACCUGAACAAAAAGCAGACCAGAUUGAGCUCGACUUAAAUUUUUUAUCAGUCCAAUGUAAGUUUACCACUGGAACACCAUAGAUAUCACAUACCUAUGUUUUUCCAUGCAGACUUCUCUAUAAAUUUACUGCAGGGUCUAGCCCAACAUCGACUAUUGAAUCAUGUGCUUCAUUGCAGCAGUACAAACUACAUUCUAUUAAUCUUCUCGCGGACCAAAUGACCUCAUAUGACCAAACAUAACUUCUUAGGAAGAUUAGCCUGCAUGUAAAUUCUUGUCUAACACAAACGCAUCUGGUGUACGCGGGUGUGUGCAAGUGUUUUAAAAUUCUAGUGGAAGCAUAUGGCAUCAUUGUUCCGGCAAACUGAAAAGGUAAGAGCACAUCUUAAACAGUAAAUGGCUACUGCUCGACUCAACGCUCAGUGCUAUAUAUAAAUUUAGUGAUAUCAUGUCGCUCCAAGUAGAUAUUAUAGUAGAUAUUAAAUUUAGUGAUAUAUUGCAGUAGUACAUAUUAAAUUCCAGUGGAAGCAUAUCGCAUCAUUGUUCCAAGUAGAUAUUGCAGCAGUAGAUAUUAAAGUAGAUAAUAAAUUUAGUGAUAUAUGUAAACGGCAGACUCAAUUGGUACUGAUUUACUAAAGGAAAAGUAGAUAUUAAAGCAAGGAUUAGACUGUUAUACAUGUCCUGUUGACAUGCCGACACCAUAUCGACAUGCCAAAGCAAGCCUCAGGAGCACAUUGUGGAUGGCGUCUUCAUGCACGAGCGCGCUGGUGAUCAGAAUCCCAUCAAGAAUGACAUCGAACACGCGCCGGCCGACAUGACUUAACACGGAGUAUCACCGCCUCACCCCGAUCUGAAUA
rnacentral:lncRNA from 1 species